CCUACGGGUGGCAGCAGUGAGGAAUAUUGGUCAAUGGACGCAAGCCUGAACCAGCCAUGCCGCGUGCGGGAUGACGGCUCUAUGAGUUGUAAACUGCUUUUGUACGAGGGUAAACCCCGAUACGUGUAUCGGGUUGAAGGUAUCGUACGAAUAAGGCCCGGCUAAGUCCGUGCCAGCAGCCGCGGUAAUACGGAGGUUCCGAGCGUUAUCCGGAUUUAUUGGGGUUAAAGGGUGCGUAGGCGGUUUGAUAAGUUAGAGGUGAAAUGUCGGGGCUCAACCCCGGAACUGCCUGUGAUACUGUUCGACUAGAGAAUAGUAGCGGUAGGCGGAAUGCGUGGUGUAGCGGUGAAAUGCUUAGAGAUCA
rnacentral:rRNA from 1 species